AAAAAACGAAAAUGCGCAUUUCGUAUCGUUAUAUAAUAUCGUACACCUGCUGCUGCUGGCAUGUACAUAGGCAGAACCGCAGUAUAAAAACGGUCGGCAACGCAACCAGAACUCACACUUUGCAUCCUAAAGUCCAACAAGCCAGCUCAACACAAAAUGAAGCUCGUAUUCUUGCUGUUCGCUCUCUUUGCCGUCGUCGCCAUGGUCUCCGCGGUGCCGUUGAGUGGCGAGAAGGGCGAAACGGCGUCACUGGUCGCCGGCGAUUUGCACACAUCCGAGUCCGGACACAAGGCUCACAAGGCGAAGGGAGCCCCUAAAGCUCACGCUGUUCCUAAAGCCCCAAAAGCUCAUGUCCCUAAAGCCCCAAAAGCUCACAAAGGCAUCAAAGCUAAGGGCCAUCACUAGGAUUAAGCGUUUCACUUGAUAUUCUACCUAUUAUACAGGUGAUGUUGAAUUCAAUCCGACUUUGUAAUACGCCCCGGGCACAAACGAGAAAAAACUUCCAGUCAAUCAACACCCAGCACUCUUUUGUAUUAACCAAUGUACCGACAAAAAAAAUUCUCUGUUUUGGUGUUUAUUUUGAUAAUCUUAUACAAUAAAAAUCAAACAAUUCGAAAGUGAAAAA